UACGGAGGAUGCGAGCGUUAUCCGGAUUUAUUGGGUUUAAAGGGUGCGCAGGCGGAGGCACAAGUCAGCGGUAAAAUCGCGGGGCUCAACCCCGCUCCGCCGUUGAAACUGUGUCCCUUGAGUGCGCGAAGGGUAGGCGGAAUGCGUGGUGUAGCGGUGAAAUGCAUAGAUAUCACGCAGAACUCCGAUCGCGAAGGCAGCCUACCGGCGCGCUACUGACGCUCAUGCACGAAAGCGUGGGUAUCGAACAGG
rnacentral:rRNA from 1 species